GUGCCAGCCGCCGCGGUAAUACGUAGGGAGCAAGCGUUGUUCGGAAUUAUUGGGCGUAAAGAGCGCGUAGGCGGUUUGGUAAGUCUGGUGUGAAAUCCCGGAGCUUAACUCCGGAACUGCAUUGGAUACUGCCAGGCUUGAGUGUGGGAGAGGAGAGUGGAAUUCCCAGUGUAGAGGUGAAAUUCGUAGAUAUUGGGAGGAACACCCGUGGCGAAGGCGGCUCUCUGGACCACAACUGACGCUGAGGCGCGAAAGCUAGGGGAGCAAACGGGAUUAGAAACCCGUGUAGUCC
rnacentral:rRNA from 1 species